rnacentral:misc_RNA from 1 species
AAAAAAUAAAGCGUACAACUCUGGCAAGAAAGAGUGCUAUCUAGCUAGGUAGAGAAGUGUUUAUAGGAUGGAGGCUAAUGCCAUCGUUGCUCCUUUCGUCAUGAAGACAUAUCAGAUUGUGAACGAUCCAGCUACGGAUACACUUAUCACUUGGGGCAAAGCCAACAACAGUUUCAUCGUCAUCGACCCUUUAGAUUUCUCCCAGAGUUGUACGCUUUAUUUUUUC